GCAGUCGAACGGUAACAUAAAGAAGCUUGCUUCUUUGAUGACGAGUGGCGGACGGGUGAGUAAUGCUUGGGAAUCUAGCUUAUGGAGGGGGAUAACUACGGGAAACUGUAGCUAAUACCGCGUAGAAUCGAGAGAUGAAAGUGUGGGACCUUCGGGCCACAUGCCAUAGGAUGAGCCCAAGUGGGAUUAGGUAGUUGGUGAGGUAAAGGCUCACCAAGCCGACGAUCUCUAGCUGGUCUGAGAGGAUGACCAGCCACACUGGGACUGAGACACGGCCCAGACUCCUACGGGAGGCAGCAGUGGGGAAUAUUGCGCAAUGGGGGCAACCCUGACGCAGCCAUGCCGCGUGAAUGAAGAAGGCCUUCGGGUUGUAAAGUUCUUUCGGUAGCGAGGAAGGCAUUUAGUUUAAUAGACUAGGUGAUUGACGUUAACUACAGAAGAAGCACCGGCUAACUCCGUGCCAGCAGCCGCGGUAAUACGGAGGGUGCGAGCGUUAAUCGGAAUAACUGGGCGUAAAGGGCACGCAGGCGGUGACUUAAGUGAGGUGUGAAAGCCCCGGGCUUAACCUGGGAAUUGCAUUUCAUACUGGGUCGCUAGAGUACUUUAGGGAGGGGUAGAAUUCCACGUGUAGCGGUGAAAUGCGUAGAGAUGUGGAGGAAUACCGAAGGCGAAGGCAGCCCCUUGGGAAUGUACUGACGCUCAUGUGCGAAAGCGUGGGGAGCAA
rnacentral:rRNA from 1 species